rnacentral:piRNA from 1 species
UGAUCAGGCAGGCUUAGGGUGUUCAGCGA